rnacentral:rRNA from 1 species
GGGGUGCUUGCACCCCAGAGACCGGCGCACGGGUGCGUAACGCGUAUGCAACCUACCUUUUACAGGGGGAUAGCCCAGAGAAAUUUGGAUUAAUACCCCGUGGGAUCGUUUUAAGGCCUCUUAGGGCGAUUAAAGUCACAACGGUAAGAGAUGGGCAUGCGUCCCAUUAGCUAGUUGGUAUGGUAACGGCAUACCAAGGCGACGAUGGGUAGGGGUCCUGAGAGGGAGACCCCCCACACUGGUACUGAGACACGGACCAGACUCCUACGGGAGGCAGCAGUGAGGAAUAUUGGACAAUGGGCGAGAGCCUGAUCCAGCCAUGCCGCGUGCAGGAAGACGGCCCUAUGGGUUGUAAACUGCUUUUAUACGGGAAGAAUAAGGGUUACGUGUAACCUGAUGACGGUACCGUAUGAAUAAGGAUCGGCUAACUCCGUGCCAGCAGCCGCGGUAAUACGGAGGAUCCAAGCGUUAUCCGGAAUCAUUGGGUUUAAAGGGUCCGUAGGCGGGCCUAUAAGUCAGGGGUGAAAGUUUGCCGCUCAACGGUAAAAUUGCCUUUGAUACUGUAGGCCUUGAAUCAUGGUGAAGUGGCUGGAAUGUGUAGUGUAGCGGUGA